rnacentral:tRNA from 1 species
UCCUUCAUGGUGUAGCGGUCAGCACGCUCGACGUGUAACCGAGAGGUCCGUGGUUCGAUUCCCGGCGAAGGCG